rnacentral:rRNA from 1 species
UACGUAGGGAGCAAGCGUUGUCCGGAAUUAUUGGGCGUAAAGAGCUCGUAGGCGGUCUGUCGCGUCCGUUGUGAAAACUCGAGGCUCAACCUCGGGCUUGCAGUGGAUACGGGCAGACUAGAGUGCGGUAGGGGAGACUGGAAUUCCUGGUGUAGCGGUGGAAUGCGCAGAUAUCAGGAAGAACACCUAUGGCGAAGGCAGCUCGCUACACAUAUAUUGACUCUGAGGCACGAAAGCGUGGGGAUCAAACAGG